rnacentral:rRNA from 1 species
GCCACCUACGCCCUGUCCCGCGUGCUCGAGGCGCACCCGGGGCCCUUCCGCUGCGUCCACCUGAUCAAGAGCUGCAGGGAGGAGUUCCAUGGCCUGCUCACGCGCUGGAUCGAGCUUCUCGCCGCCAAGGGCAUACUGGAACUCGUCAUCCUCAACAGCUGCUGUCCGUUCGACGUCAUCCUCCCCUGCACCUUCUUCGGCAUGGCCACCCUCACCCGGCUCCACCUCGGCUCCUGGAAGUUCCCGGACACGGCCGGCCUCCCGCGCUCCGCCUCUUUCCCCAAACUCCGUGAGCUCGGGCUCUGCAACAUCCUUGUGGAGAGCAGGGAUUUGGACUUCAUCCUCGACAGGAGCCCCGUGCUGGAGACGCUCAGUGUCGAAGGUAAUUUUUUCACGCUCCGGCUCCGCCUUGUCAGCCAAAGCCUCCGGUGCGUGCAGAUCAUCGGGUCCUUCUUCGAAGAAAUCUUCGUGGUGAACGCCCCACGCCUUGAGCGGCUCAUCAAUCUGGAAGGCUGGACCCAUGAUAGCAGUUGCACCAAGGUCAAGAUUGGCCAUGCCCCCAAGCUGCGCCUGUUGGCAUACUCGGAGUUGGACCCAGGAAAUCAGGUCCUAGAGGUCGGCAACACCGUCAUCAAGGCUGGGACAAGGGUGAGCCCAAGAACCAUGGUACCAAGUGUGAGAAUCCUGGCAUUGGAAGUGCGUUUCGGAGUACGCAAUGAUGCCAAAAUAAUUCCCAAUGUCCUCAGAUGCUUUCCUAAUGUUGAGACGCUCCACAUCAAGUCCGGAAAGCCUGAUCAAUCCACUGGCAAGCUCAACCUAAAGUUCUGGCACGAGUCUGGUACCAUAGAAUGCAUCCGGUCGCGCAUCAAGCUGCUGGUUUUCCAUGAUUUCCGAGGGGGUCGGAGUGAGCUCGCCUUCCUCAAAUAUUUCUUUGAGAGUGCAUUGGUACUGAAGGAGGUGUCGAUUCGGUUGUCCGCUGGCUUCACUUCGGCGGAGGAGGUGCAUUCCAAAGUGGCGAGUCUGGGGUCCAGGAAACGGGCCAGUGAAACCCCCAUAGUGCGGGUCACUGGCUGGUCUGAUCCUCAAGGAGGUUUCAUCCAGAGCUUCAAGAGAGGAUCUGAAUUUUCUCUUCAGGGUCCUUUUGCGAACUACUGA